GAUAAACGCUAGCGGCAGGCUUAACACAUGCAAGUCGAGGGGCAGCAUAGAUUGUAGCAAUACAAUUGGUGGCGACCGGCGCACGGGUGCGUAACGCGUAUGCAACCUACCCGUCACAGGGGGAUAAUCCGGAGAAAUCUGGUCUAAUACCCCAUAACAUAUGGAUCGGCAUCGGUUCAUGUUGAAAUUUUCGGCGGUGACGGAUGGGCAUGCGUAGCAUUAGCUUGUCGGUGAGGUAACGGCUCACCAAGGCGACGAUGCUUAGGGGGACUGAGAGGUUUUCCCCCCACACUGGUACUGAGACACGGACCAGACUCCUACGGGAGGCAGCAGUGAGGAAUAUUGGUCAAUGGGCGCAAGCCUGAACCAGCCAUGCCGCGUGCAGGAUGACGGCUCUAUGAGUUGUAAACCGCUUUUGUACGAGGGUAAAGUGGGUUACGUGUAACCUUUUGAAAGUAUCGUACGAAUAAGGAUCGGCUAACUCCGUGCCAGCCGCCGCCGUAA
rnacentral:rRNA from 1 species